rnacentral:rRNA from 1 species
UAAGCCUGUGAAGGUGUGUCGUGAGGCAUGCUGGAGGUAUCAGAAGUGCGAAUGCUGACAUAAGUAACGAUAAAGCGGGUGAAAAGCCCGCUCGCCGGAAGACCAAGGGUUCCUGUCCAACGUUAAUCGGGGCAGGGUGAGUCGACCCCUAAGGCGAGGCCGAAAGGCGUAGUCGAUGGGAAACGGGUUAAUAUUCCCGUACUUGGUGUUACUGCGAAGGGGGGACGGAGAAGGCUAUGUUGGCCGGGCGACGGUUGUCCCGGUUUAAGCGUGUAGGUGUGUGUUCCAGGUAAAUCCGGUUCACUUUAACACUGAGGCGUGACGACGAGGCACUACGGUGCUGAAGCAACAAAUGCCCUGCUUCCAGGAAAAGCCUCUAAGCAUCAGGUAACAUCAAAUCGUACCCCAAACCGACACAGGUGGUCAGGUAGAGAAUACCAAGGCGCUUGAGAGAACUCGGGUGAAGGAACUAGGCAAAAUGGUGCCGUAACUUCGGGAGAAGGCACGCUGACACGUAGGUGAAGUGAUUUACUCAUGGAGCUGAAGUCAGUCGAAGAUACCAGCUGGCUGCAACUGUUUAUUAAAAACACAGCACUGUGCAAACACGAAAGUGGACGUAUACGGUGUGACGCCUGCCCGGUGCCGGAAGGUUAAUUGAUGGGGUCAGCGCAAGCGAAGCUCCUGAUCGAAGCCCCGGUAAACGGCGGCCGUAACUAUAACGGUCCUAAGGUAGCGAAAUUCCUUGUCGGGUAAGUUCCGACCUGCACGAAUGGCGUAAUGAUGGCCAGGCUGUCUCCACCCGAGACUCAGUGAAAUUGAACUCGCUGUGAAGAUGCAGUGUACCCGCGGCAAGACGGAAAGACCCCGUGAACCUUUACUAUAGCUUGACACUGAACAUUGAGCCUUGAUGUGUAGGAUAGGUGGGAGGCUUUGAAGUGUGGACGCCAGUCUGCAUGGAGCCGACCUUGAAAUACCACCCUUUAAUGUUUGAUGUUCUAACGUGGACCCGUGAUCCGGGUUGCGGACAGUGUCUGGUGGGUAGUUUGACUGGGGCGGUCUCCUCCUAAAGAGUAACGGAGGAGCACGAAGGUUGGCUAAUCCUGGUCGGACAUCAGGAGGUU